rnacentral:rRNA from 1 species
AGUGAACGCUGGCGGUAGGCCUAACACAUGCAAGUCGAACGGCAGCACAGUAAGAGCUUGCUCUUACGGGUGGCGAGUGGCGGACGGGUGAGGAAUACAUCGGAAUCUACUUUUUCGUGGGGGAUAACGUAGGGAAACUUACGCUAAUACCGCAUACGACCUACGGGUGAAAGCAGGGGAUCUUCGGACCUUGCGCGAUUGAAUGAGCCGAUGUCGGAUUAGCUAGUUGGCGGGGUAAAGGCCCACCAAGGCGACGAUCCGUAGCUGGUCUGAGAGGAUGAUCAGCCACACUGGAACUGAGACACGGCCCAGACUCCUACGGGAGGCAGCAGUGGGGAAUAUUGGACAAUGGGCGCAAGCCUGAUACAGCCAUACCGCGUGGGUGAAGAAGGCCUUCGGGUUGUAAAGCCCUUUUGUUGGGAAAGAAAAGCAGCAGGUUAAUACCCCGCUGUUCUGACGGUACCCAAAGAAUAAGCACCGGCUAACUUCGUG